GAGGAGCCUGCGGCGGAUUAGCUAGUUGGUAGGGUAACGGCUUACCAAGGCGACGAUCCGUAACCGGCCUGAGAGGGCGGUCGGUCACACUGACACUGACAUACGGGUCAGACUCCUACGGGAGGCAGCAGUCGGGAAUUUUGGGCAAUGGGCGAAAGCCUGACCCAGCAACGCCGCGUGAAGGAUGAAAUCCCACGGGAUGUAAACUUCGCAAGAAUGGGAAGAAUGAGCGAGCGCUAAUACCGUUCGUGAUGACGGUACCAUUUGUAAGCUCCGGCUAACUCCGUGCCAGCAGCCGCGGUAAUACGGGGGGAGCAAGCGUUGUUCGGAUUUACUGGGCGUAAAGGGCGCGUAGGCGGCCAGCGCAAGUCAGUUGUGAAAUCUCCGGGCUUAACUCGGAAAGGUCAACUGAUACUGCGCGGCUAGAGUGCGGAAGGGGCAACUGGAAUUCUCGGUGUAGCGGUGAAAUGCGUAGAUAUCGAGAGG
rnacentral:rRNA from 1 species